AUGCGUAUGUUGAGAUGGAUGUGUGGCCACACGAGGAAGGAUCGAGUCCGGAAUGAUGAUAUACGAGAUAGAGUUGGGGUUGCACCAAUUGAGAAGAAGCUUGUCCAACAUCGUUUGAGAUGGUUUGGGCAUAUUCAGCGCAGGCCUCCAGAAGCUCCAGUGCAUAGAGGACGGCUAAAGCGUGCGGAGAAUGUCAAGAGAGGGCGGGGUCGACCGAUUUUGACAUGGGAGGAGUCCGUUAAGAGAGACCUGAAGGAUUGGAGUAUCGACAAAGAGCUAGCUAUGGACAGGGGUGCGUGGAAGCUUGCUAUCCUUGUGCCAGAGCCAUGA
rnacentral:rRNA from 1 species